CGGUCCAGACUCCUACGGGAGGCAGCAGUAGGGAAUCUUCCGCAAUGGGCGAAAGCCUGACGGAGCAACGCCGCGUGAGUGAUGAAGGUCUCUUCGGAUCGUAAAACUCUGUUAUUAGGGAAGAACAUAUGUGUAAGUAACUGUGCACAUCUUGACGGUACCUAAUCAGAAAGCCACGGCUAACUACGUGCCAGCAGCCGCGGUAA
rnacentral:rRNA from 1 species